CUCACUUCUUGCAGAAAUGGCACCGCCUCCGAGGUUCCUGUUGCCUCCAAGCUGUUGAGUGCCUGGAAAAGAAUCGGGACCCCCACCCAAGUUCGUGCCUGGACUUCUCCGGGGCCCGGCUGCAGAUCCUCUUCUCCGGAGCCUGCGAAGAAGAAGAAGGCCUGCCUGGAAGCUCUGCGGCCAGAGGCUGGCGGAUGAGCCCGUGGAAGCAUUGCCCAGCGCCCUCUGAGCUCGCUGCCCCACGCCCUAAGGCGGACAGAGUGGGGGUGCUGGUGGGGGCUGAGAAUCUCCCCUCCUUCCGGGGGAACACGAGGAGUUGGGAGGUCAGCAGAACGGCCAAAAUCCUCUUGCCAGACAGUUCAUGUCCUGAGAAGUGGAUUCUUGUGGAAAAGGAGGCGGCUGAGAUAAGCAAGCUCCAUCUCGCGGCCAGGAGGAAGCUGGGGAGAACCACUGGCUCUCAGAAUCAAGCCCACUGGCUCUUAGGAUCGUGCAAAGACAAGGAGACAAAGAAGCAGCUGCGGAAAGCGGAAAACAAGCUGCUGUGUGGUCCUUGCAGCGACGCUGGUUCACAAGCAGGCAGUCGAUGAGCCCAGAAGUCAGAACAAAAUAAACUGGAAAGAGGCAACAAAGAUGAUCGGGAAACCAAGUCCUGCAAUGCGACACUGAAGGAGCCUUGAGAAGAGAAGAUGCAGCAGCCAGAGGAGAGCCCCCUACAAGCGCCUUGGAGGCCGGCACAGAGAGGAAGCAAGGGAUUCCACUCAUCCCUGCAGGCAGGACACAGAACAACCAGUUUAAACCGCAGUCCACCAGCUUCAGGCUGGACCGCAGGAAAAGCUUCCUCCCCGUCAGAGCAAACGGCAGUGGACCCAGCGGCCCAGAGAGGCGGUGGGCUCUCCCACACUGGGGGCAGUCACGGAGCAACCGGGCGGCCGUCAGAGUGGGGUGGUGUGACGUGGUCUCCCGCAACAGCCGACGGCCUUCUGGCCCCUUCCCGCUCUCCUGCUCUGCGCUCCUCUGCAAAACAGCAGUGCAGGGCCAUGCCCAAGGCCUGCUCAGUCCAGCACCCAGCUGACCCGGUGGCAGGCCAGCGGCCCGCAGGACCCCUCGAGUGGGGUGGGCCCUCAGCAGCCGGCGGGCGCAGGCACGCUGCCCUGGUGAGGGCGGGGGCACACGGCCAGCAAGGCUGGUGGGCAUGGAGAGCCUGGACAGACGCAUGUUGGGGGGGGUCCCUCCUGUGUGACUGUUGUAGAAGUCCGGACGGUGAACCUGUCCAUGACCGCACACUGGGGCUGACAUAAGCUGCAGCGGGGUCAGGCUAGACGGCCUGGGAGGUGCCUUCUGACUCGCUCUGUUUCUGUGUCACAGGAACAGCCAUUCGCACUGCGCUGCGGAAGCUGCGCCAGGGCCUGGCUCUGGGUCAGGUGCUUCUUUCGGCCGGCAUCAGCCCUGCGGCUCCGAGGGCCCCGGUGAGCCAACCGGGCUGUGCAAGAGCUGCUAGAGAAGCACGUCGGAGGCCUUCCGCUCUGGCCCCUUGUCGGAAAGGGGCACUUGUGGCAUAAACGGGAGCGAUUCGAGGGUCCCUGGGCGGAGCCUGCUGUUCAGGCAGGACUGGGGCUGCAGCCCACCAUCACUCCGGGCUCCCUGAGCUUCCAGUGCAUGUGGCCGCUGCGGGCAGGAGACAGGCAGGCAACGGCUUCCGGAGCACACCUGCACGGAGCUGGCCGUGCAUCCCAGGAGAUGCGUGGCCUCCCCUUGGCCCCUUGCCAUGGAUCCGGCUGCCUGCCACUCCGUCCCCGAAGCACCGCAGCCCCGUCCUGAGUGCGGAUCCAGGAGAGGACCGCCAGGCCCUGCGGCGCCCCUCUUUUAGCACCGCCUGAAGCCAUCCAUGCCGGCGGAGAGGCCCCCCACCUCCUGGGAGCCAGUAGCAAGGGCCGGAGUGACCCACGCGGGCCGGCCUGCCGGUCCCUCGGAUGGUGCCGAACGGUGCGGAAGAGCAAGCCUGGGCAGGCCGUGGGGCCGUGUGUGCCGAGCCUCCGCCGCUUAACGGAGGAGGAAGCGGUGGGGUGCCCCUGCCGCUCAGCUGCUCUGGCCGCAGUCCCGGCUGCCCACGCCUGCUCGGCUCCUUGGCGUGGGCUGCAGUGUCAGCAGGGCCACCCCCGUUUCCUGUGUGAAAGCGCCAGGCUGGUCAGGAAGCCAAAGAGCCCCGGGGAAGCUCUCGGACGGCUCGCUUCUACUUCUGGUUCAGUUCCUGCGAUGAAUAAGUCGCAGGGCAGUGCUCUGGGAAGGAAAGGGAAACCAGCGGGUUUCUCCUGCGAUGCCGACGGAAUGUGACCCACGCGGCAGAUCUGCUGUGCAUCCGAAAAUGGUGGCUGGAAGAGGCCGUCUCCUUUCAUCCCGCUGCCAGGGCUGGAUGGGACACGUCUGCCGCCAGGGGCAGCCAGUGCUCGCUGCUCCGCAGAGGGAGGUGCUGGCAGUGCGGAGAGCCGGGCCCGUUCUGACGGGCCUUGGCCGGCCCUCAUCCGGCAUGCCCCCCGCAUUCACGGGGGCUGCCUGGCUUGGGGUGCAAGGACAUCUGGACGUGAACAUCCGGCAGCCAAGCUUGUGAGUUGUGCUGGCACAAAUGCGUACAAAUAGGGGAACCCCUGCGAGGAACCUCAGCGGCCGGUGAUACAGAAAUAGAGUCCACCGUCUUCGGCAACCGUCCUCCCCGGGUCCAGUCUCGGCUGCCUUGACAUUUUGGUCUCCUCUCUUCAAAUCGUCGUGCUAUUUUAACCCUUUCAGUUUAAACCAU